UGUAGGAGUAAUAUAACUAAUUCUUUUAAAUUGGGAACUAAAAACACGUUAUUUCUUACUACCUUUUGUUAAUAUGGGUACUGCCAAAGUUAUUAUAGUUCGAACAACUGUUGUGAAAGGAAGAUUGCCAAAAAAUGGAAAGCAAGGCGUUAGCAUAUCUCGAAUGGUGAAAUUGAUCAAGUCCUUAAAUGAACCCAUACAAUUGGAGUAAAUGAUACCUUUAAAAAUCUUAUGUGGUGAACGUUUUAAGGAAUGUAACACAAAAUAUAUCAAAAUGGGAUGCAAGUAGUUCAAAUUUAGGAUUUCCUUAAAAGCAUUAUAGAUUGUUAUAUUCCGGCAUUCAGCUGAUUUUGUCCCACUGUGCCUGUUUGGAGCCAACGAACAACUUCAUUCAGUUUCAGUUCGCAUUAAUGCAGCGUGAAUUAAGUGUCAAGGACAUUUUUUGGUUUUGCUGCCAACGAUGCAACAUGUUUCAGUCUCUGGCUGCAUCUUCUUCCGUCCCGCGCCUGCAUGUCCUGGCCCACCCCAGUGGGUGGUAUAUGUAUGUUUGUCAUGCAUUCUGUGUGCUGUGCGUGUGUGCUGGUGCUUUGGGUGACCGAAAAUGCGUUGCAACAUUCAAGUAAGUGACGUAAAUGCAUCACCGACACAACACCCACACUCACGCACAGUGGGCGGACAUUCGGACGGACGGAGUAAAUCAUCGUCAUCAUCAUCAUCGCCAUCAUUGGGGGCACCAAAGGACAUUCACAUCCACAUCCUCGUCCACACAGGACACACUCGCACGCAGGCAUCAGAGGCAGUUAUGGCUGUCAAGAUGAAUGCCAUAUCAUCGCCGCACCGAAAAUGGUGUCAAAACGUCACCAACGGCGGUUCAGCCCUUCAGCAGUAAAACUGCAAACAGAAAACAGGACCUCCACUGUUGUUAUCCGGAUGAAUUAUGAGUUGUGACCGGCCGGAGGAGGAGCCGAUGUGGGAUAAGGAGGAGGAGCAGCUGACCCCCAAUCCCACCUCCAACCCACUGGAUUCCAGGCAAUCUGUCACUGGGUCCUGCCUCUGUGGGAAAAACUCCUUCCCCCAUUCGAAGUACGAGUAAUUUAUCCCACUACACCCACUCCGAAUAACCGCAGAAAAUUAAAUGCUAAACGAAGACAUUUACAAUGCAGGGCGACUGGGGACAGGACUCCUCACAAUGCAACUGAGAUUGAGGUUAAUGUAAACUAAACAUAGCUGAGGUCAAGGGGUCUGGUGGUAGGACAUCCUCACCAUUUAUAUGUAGGCGAUGU